rnacentral:tRNA from 1 species
UCCCCGGUAGCUCAGCAGGUAGAGCACCCGGCUGUUAACCGGGGGGUCGCAGGUUCGAAUCCUGCCCGGGGAG